GUGCUCAGUGCACUCCCCACUUUUGCACUGGCUGUUCUGAAGGUACCAAAGAAACUCCUAGCCGAGGUGGACAAGAUCAGAAGACGCUUUCUAUGGGCUCAAGACGAGGAGGUCAGUGGUGGGAAAUGCAAAGUAAACUGGCCUGUGGUGUGCUCUCCGAUUGACAACGGUGGGCUUGGCAUUCCAAACUUGCACCGUUUCAGCCGCGCCCUCAGACUCAGAUGGCUCUGGUUCUCCUGGGUAACACCAAACAGGCCUUGGGUGGGCAUGCAGCUGCCAUGCGAUCAAGGUGACAAAGAUCUG
rnacentral:rRNA from 1 species